GGAAAUAUAGUUCAAUGGUAGAAUACUCACUUCUCAGUGUGGGUGAUUGAAGGAAUCUGACCACGGCCUUUGGGCAUAUUGGAAGUGACCUUUGGUCGCUCUAACGAAAGUGUGGGAGAUAGGAGUUCGAUUCUCUCUAUUUCUG